AACUGCGCUGGUGCUCUGAA
rnacentral:misc_RNA from 1 species